rnacentral:rRNA from 1 species
GAUGAACGCUGGCGGCGUGCCUAAUACAUGCAAGUCGAGCGAACAGACGAGGAGCUUGCUCCUCUGACGUUAGCGGCGGACGGGUGAGUAACACGUGGAUAACCUACCUAUAAGACUGGGAUAACUUCGGGAAACCGGAGCUAAUACCGGAUAAUAUAUUGAACCGCAUGGUUCAAUAGUGAAAGACGGUUUUGCUGUCACUUAUAGAUGGAUCCGCGCCGCAUUAGCUAGUUGGUAAGGUAACGGCUUACCAAGGCAACGAUGCGUAGCCGACCUGAGAGGGUGAUCGGCCACACUGGAACUGAGACACGGUCCAGACUCCUACGGGAGGCAGCAGUAGGGAAUCUUCCGCAAUGGGCGAAAGCCUGACCGAGCAACGCCGCGUGAGGGAUGAAGGUCUUCGGAUCGUAAAACUCUUUUAUUAGGGAAGAACAAAUUUGGAAGUAACUAUGCACGUCUUGACGGUACCUAAUCAAAAAGCCACGGCUAACUACGUG